rnacentral:lncRNA from 1 species
GGCUAGGGGUCAAAUCGGAGCUGCAGCUGCCAGCCUACACCAGAGCCACAGCCACACAGGAUCCGAGCCACGUCUGUGACCUACGCCACAGCUCGCAGCAACGCCAGAUCCUUAACCCACUGAGCAAGGCCAGGAAUCGAACCCGCAACCUCAUGGUUCCUAGUCGGAUUCACUAACCACUGAGACACAAUGGGAACUCCGUGUUCUUUAUUCAUAUCUUUGUUGGGGAGUAGGAUUAUGGAAAUGAGCAUUUUAGUUGCUUAGCCAUGUUUCUGUUGAUUUUUCAAUUUUGCUCUUUAAAAACCUCUUAAAAUUGAGUUUCUUGUUAACAGUUUUCUAAAGUAAUUGUGAUUCUAUCUCUGUUUGCUAUUUUUGUGAGAUACUGAUAUAUUUCUCCCAAUUUUAAAUUAAGUUAGGUAGUAAGGGCUCAUUAGACCUUGCCAAAUUAAUUUGGUUUUUUGAGUUUUUGCUUUUUUUUUUUUUUUUUUUUUUUUGUCUUUUUUUGCCUUGUAUAGGGCCGCUCCCGUGGCAUAUGGAGGUUCCCACGCUAGGGGUCUAAUCAGAGCUGUAGCCGCCAGCCUACGCCGGAGCCACAGUAACUCGGGAUCCGAGCCGUGUCUGCAACCUACACCACAGCUCACGGCAACGCCGGAUCCUUAACCCACUGAGCAAGGCCAGGGACCGAACCCACAACCUCAUGGUUCCUAGUCAGAUUCGUUAACCACUGAGCCAUGACGGGAACUCCUUAAUUUGGUUUUUUGAGGAUGAUUUGUCUUCAGGAUUGAGGCUGUGCAUAUGUUUAGUUUGAGUUUUUACAACAAGGACUGCCAGUUUAUCUAUGUAAGCAUCUGUUCCUGUGUGAACAGUUGAGAUCUAGUUCCUGAACCACCCUCCAGUGAAGGGGUUAUUUAUUUACUGUAGGACUCAAAAUUGUUAACAUUUAGAGCCUGUAGGGGGCUCCAGAAGGCAAAAUUUAGUGGGCCUUAGAGCAGUGACUGAAUCUUUUCACAACAAUUUAACAGCAGAUCAAACGUUUUUGCAUCUCAACCCAAAACAUCCAUAUAACAGACAGUGCUUACCCUUAAAACUCAAUAUGCACUGAUAUUUCUUUCUGUUCUUGUCAGGAUCCACUGUUUGGCUUUCAGAGUUGCAUUUUGGAAAAUGUUAGCUUAUUGAGUUGCAGGACAAGUUGGAUUUUUAAGUCACUCUUGCUGUGAUAUUGUCAAUUCUGUUUUACAUGUAAAAUGAUAAACUUUCUUUGCUUGGAAAAGUAGUCUGGAGUUUGAGGUUAACCUUUAAAAUUAAAGGUGAAAAUUAUAUAUAUAUCAGUUGAUUACUUAAUUGAUUACUUGAUGCUCUUGAGCAUGAAAGUAUUUUAUAGUUUUUAAAAUACACAACUGUGAAUGGCUUUUUAUUUUUUAUUUUUUAAAUUUUUUAAUAUUUUGGUCUUUUUGUCUUUUAGGGCUGCAUCCGCAGCAACAUAUGGAAGUUCCCAGGCUAGAAGUCGAAUUGGAGCUACAGCCGCCGGCCUACACCACAGCUACAGCAACUCGGGAUCCGAGCCAUGUCUGCGACCUAUACCACAGCUCACUGCAACGCCAGAUCCUUAACCCACUGAAUGAGGCCAGGGAUUGAACCCUUGUCCUCAUGGAUGCUAGUCGGGUUCGCUAACCACUGAGCCAUGAUGGGAACUCCGUGAGUGACUUUUUAAAUAUGCUUGGAGUUUUAUAUUUUUGUCAUUAUUUGUCCUGGGGAGGGGAUGGAAUACUAGUACAUUGGUGCUACUUUUUAUGAAAUCUAAGGCACUUUGUAGGGCUUAUUUUUUAAAAACCUACCCACAAAGUCCAUGCAACUACAGAUAUUUAGCCUGUGGUUCAAUAAAGAUUAUUUGGCUUUGAAUUUAAUUUUGCAUUUAGAGUUGACCUUAGCUAUCAUUCAAAACAAAUAUCUCAUAGGCUUGAUAUCUGUCAGAAAAUGGUAAAUAUUCCAAAAUCGUGCCAUUGAAUUUCAUCCUUUUCAAACAUAUUCUCCUGCAAGUUCAUAAGGAGUAGGAGAUAGUGAUAAACUCCUGUAUAAAAUAUAGUUACCUAAUCCUCACCACUUUCGUUAGUCUUAGGCAAGUGUGUCAUUUGUGUAUUCCCAUGUCUGAGCUUUUCUGGUUACUAAAAUAUAAAGAGAAAGAUGGGGAGGUGUCAGUGAGACGGUUGCCGUAUCUUCGGAGAUCCAUAGAAGAAAACUCUUUUAAGUUUGCAGAGUGAUGAAAUCAACACUGAUCAUGGAAAUAGAAGUUAUUUGUACAUUUCACUGUUUCUCUCUUGUCCUGUACAUUCCUUCUUGUUUCCUGCAGCAAUAAAACUCCCUUUCCUGUAACACCAUGGCGCCAAGUCAGUAUUUUCAGUUAAACAGGUCGAUAACGUUAAACUAUUCACUUGUGUAAAUUCAGUCCCAUUCCGUACAUGCAUGGGAUGCAGAUGUGAGCCGGGAAAAUUGCUCAGUACCUUGCCUGCAUUCUGCUUAGAGUAGCGCUUUGAAGAAAGCGCUCCCUUGUUCGCCUUUGAAAACUGAGUUUAGGAGAGAGUAAGUGGCUUUUUGGAAGUCACACGGCCUGUAGAAGCGGGACCAGGAUUGAACACAGGUCUGAAUCCAGAGCUCAUGCUCUUAGCCUCUGUGCUCUGCUGCUUCUCAUAAAAUGGAAUAUUGCAAGGCUAUAGAUUGUCACGGGUCUUUUUUAUUAGUGUCUGUCAAACACUGCCUUUCUGGCUCCAUCUAUCUCAUCAGCCGUGGAUUUGAACCAGGCUCCCUGGGGGACCAACACUAUGUUUUUAGGUAGUAUAUUGGAAACCGUGGAGCACAGUGUUUAUAGAUGCUAAUUUGUGGGGAAACAUUUUAAAGUAAUAAUUUUCUGUGACCUCUAUAAUGUACAGCCAGCCAAUUUGAUACAUUUCACAAUAAUUUGGCUAUAUCAUAACCUAUGUUUAUUUUAUUUUCAAUUUUAUCUUAAGUAUUUUCCCUGUGGCAAGCUGAAUUAUGAUAAUCUUGCAGUAUUUAUACCUUGCUUCUUUGUGGUUUUCAAUAUUUCUGAUGUCUUCUUCCUUUUAACCUUGGCAUUAAAAAAAGUCACGCUGUAUAUAAAUAAGAUGACGUGAUUUAAUUUAAUGAUGUUUUCAUAUAGUAUACUGAGUUUUCUAAGGAGAAAGUGCUGAGAACAGCAGUGUUUGUUUAUAGUUAUGUUUAUGACAUAGAUUUUUUUGAAAGAGUCUUCUCAGUGAGUAAAACUGAUGUUCAUGUCGUUCUGUUGUUUAUAGUUAUUUGAUUUUUCUCCAUGUUCAGAUUUCUUAGUUUAGUAAUGUCAUUCUAAAUCCCUGUGGCUUUCUAAUUUUAGUUUUUUUGGCAACUAUGAGAUGUUUAUUGACUACUAAUGAUAUGGUAAUAAUUGUCAUCUGCAAGAAGGAAAAGAAGAUGUUAGCACCCUUGGGAGAAAGGGGGCUUUUUAUUCUUUGACAGCCCUAAGGAAACUAAGCAUGUUCUAAUAGGUUCAACAGAAAAAGUUUGUUUUUUGUUUUUUUGUCUUUUGCCAUUUCUUGGGCCCCUGUCGCAGCAUAUGGAGGUUCCCAGGCUAGGGGGCGAAUUGGAGCUGUAGCCGCCAGCCUAUGCCACAGCCACAGCAACUCAGGAUCCGAGCCUCGUCUGUGACCUCCACCACAACUCACGGCAAUGCCAGAUCCUUAACCCACUGAGCAAGGCCAGGGAUCAAACCUGCAACCUCAUGGUUCCCAGUCGGAUUCGCUAACCACUGCGCCACGACGGGAACUCCCAGAAAAAGUUUUUUAUUCUUGACACAUUUAUCGGCCACUGGGGAUAUUUCCAAUAUAGGAACUAUCUCAGGGAAAGUGCUGAGACAAGAGAGAAUGAGUACAAAAUUCUGCUGGUGACAGUGUAAGUGUUGAGAAAGGUGUUUCCCCUAAAUUUUGGAUUCUGUCAUUAAAAUGAUCUCGUCAUCAGAUGUUAAAAAAGAAGCAUGUUUCCUCUUUUUAAAGCAUCAUCUGCAUAUUUUGCUUUGAAAUGUUAAAGAUGGGGAAGAAUUUUAUAUAGAGAACUUAAUUUCUUAGAAUUAUUUUUUUCUUUUGAAAAAUUUCUCCUAAUAACUUUAAAGCACUUCUCUCCUUGUGAUUUAUUUAAAUCUUAAUAAAUUAUACAUUUCUG